CCUACGGGAGGCAGCAGUGGGGAAUAUUGGACAAUGGGGGGAACCCUGAUCCAGCGACGCCGCGUGAGUGAAGAAGUAUUUCGGUAUGUAAAGCUCUAUCAGCAGGGAAGAAAGAAAUGACGGUACCUGACUAAGAAGCCCCGGCUAACUACGUGCCAGCAGCCGCGGUAAGACGUAGGGGGCAAGCGUUAUCCGGAUUUACUGGGUGUAAAGGGAGCGUAGACGGUUACGCAAGUCUGGAGUGAAAGGCGGGGGCUCAACCCCCGGACUGCUUUGGAAACUGUAUAACUGGAGUGCAGGAGAGGUAAGUGGAAUUCCUAGUGUAGCGGUGAAAUGCGUAGAUAUUAGGAGGAACACCAGUGGCGAAGGCGGCUUACUGGACUGUAACUGACGUUGAGGCUCGAAAGCGUGGGGAGCAAACAGGAUUAGAUACCCCGGUAGUC
rnacentral:rRNA from 1 species